GUGGGGAAUCUUCCACAAUGGACGAAAGUCUGAUGGAGCAACGCCGCGUGAGUGAUGAAGGUCUUCGGAUUGUAAAGCUCUGUUAAUCGGGACGAAAGAGCCUAGUGUGAAUAAUGCUAGGAAGUGACGGUACCGGAAUAGAAAGCCACGGCUAACUACGUGCCAGCAGCCGCGGUAAUACGUAGGUGGCAAGCGUUGUCCGGAAUUAUUGGGCGUAAAGCGCGCGCAGGCGGAUCUGCCAGUCUGUCUUAAAAGUUCGGGGCUUAACCCCGUGAUGGGAUGGAAACUACAGAUCUAGAGUAUCGGAGAGGAAAGUGGAAUUCCUAGUGUAGCGGUGAAAUGCGUAGAUAUUAGGAAGAACACCAGUGGCGAAGGCGACUUUCUGGACGAAAACUGACGCUGAGGCGCGAAAGCCAGGGGAGCGAACGGGAUUAGAUACCCGAGUAGUCC
rnacentral:rRNA from 1 species